rnacentral:rRNA from 1 species
GAUGAACGCUGGCGGCGUGCCUAAUACAUGCAAGUCGAGCGAACGGACGAGAAGCUUGCUUCUCUGAUGUUAGCGGCGGACGGGUGAGUAACACGUGGAUAACCUACCUAUAAGACUGGGAUAACUUCGGGAAACCGGAGCUAAUACCGGAUAAUAUUUUGAACCGCAUGGUUCAAAAGUGAAAGACGGUCUUGCUGUCACUUAUAGAUGGAUCCGCGCUGCAUUAGCUAGUUGGUAAGGUAACGGCUUACCAAGGCAACGAUGCAUAGCCGACCUGAGAGGGUGAUAGGCCACACUGGAACUGAGACACGGUCAAGACUCCUAAGGGAGGCAGCAGUAGGGAAUCGUCCGCAAUGGGCGAAAGCAUGACGGAGCAACGCCGCGUGAGUGAUGAAGGUCUUCGGAUCGUAAAACUCUGUUAUUAGGGAAGAACAUAUGUGUAAGUAACUGUGCACAUCUUGACGGUACCUAAUCAGAAAGCCACGGCUAACUACGUG